UACAAGGUGUCGAAAGCGCUCCACAGGGAUGCUGGCCCACGUUGACUCCGAUGCUUCCCAUGGUUGUGUCAAGUUAGCUGGAUGUCAUUUGGGUGGUGGACCAUUCUUGAUACACACGGGAAACUGUAGAGCGUGAAAAAACCAGCAGCUUUGUAGUUCUUGACACAAACCGGUGCACCUGGCACCUAUUACCCCGUUCAAAGGACUUAAUAAAUAUUUUGCCUUACCGAUUUAACCUUUGAAUGGCACAUACACAAUCCAUGUCUCAAUUAUCUCAAGGCUUACAUUUUUUAAAAUCUUAAUCUCCUCCACUCCAUCUAUACUGAUUUGAAGUUGAUUUAACAAGUGACAAUCAUAGCUUUUUGCCUGGUCAGUCUGUGAUAGGAGGAGAUCAUUCAGAUCCAUACAUCUUCUCAUCUUUUACAUGUCCUCAAAUCCAGCUGACUUGUACUGUGGACAGACGUUUUUAUAUUUAUAAGGUAAAUGUAUGUUUUUAAUAGAACUGCAGAAGUUUGAAUGUAAUUACAAUAAAAUGAAUGACAAUAUAGCAUUGUGUUGUUCUCUGUCCAUCAUGUCAAUAGGGAAACAAUGGCAACAGACACGGUGUUGGUGUUAGACUCCAGAUAGGUGUUGCAGACUCCAGAUAGGCGUUGCAGACUCGACUCCAGAUAGGCGUUGCAGACUCGACUCCAGAUAGGCGUUGCAGACUCGACUCCAGAUAGGCGUUGCAGACUCGACUCCAGAUAGGCGUUGCAGACUCGACUCCAGAUAGGCGUUGCAGACUCGACUCCAGAUAGGCGUUGCAGACUCGACUCCAGAUAGGCGUUGCAGACUCGACUCCAGAUAGGCGUUGCAGACUCGACUCCAGAUAGGCGUUGCAGACUCGACUCCAGAUAGGCGUUGCAGACUCGACUCCAGAUAGGCGUUGCAGA